rnacentral:lncRNA from 1 species
UGAAAUUAUCAAGCAAAUACUUUAAGUAUUUUCUCAUUUAUUGUAUAGAUAAGUAUUUUGUAAAUAUAAUUUUGAAGAACGGGAUACUUAUUUGUAAAUAUAGAUAGAAUAACUGUCUCCAUUACUAUCUCUAACUAAAAAGUAUCAUCAGAGAUGAAAUUCCGAAUGUCUUUGAUGCCGAAUAAAUGAUCGACAUUACUGUAACUAGAAUUGUCACGACCUCUCCAACUAUGAAUGUUUUUAGCUUUUCUAUUUGUAUCUUCACUUUUACUAGUAUUUUCAAUAGGACCUUGAAGAACGGGAUACUUAUCUUUUGAAAAUAAUUUUUAUGCAAGUAUUGUUUGUCGUGAAAGAGUCUCAU